AUUGAACGCUGGCGGCAUGCCUUACACAUGCAAGUUGAACGGCAGCAUGAUCUAGCUUGCUAGAUUGAUGGCGAGUGGCGAACGGGUGGGUAAUACAUCGGAACGUGCCCUGUAGUGGGGGAUGACUAGCCGAAAGGUUAGCUAAUACCGCAUACGACCUGAGGGUGAAAGUGGGGGACCGCAAGGCCUCAUGCUAUAGGAGCGGCCGAUGUCUGAUUAGCUAGUUGGUGAGGUAAAGGCUCACCAAGGCGACGAUCAGUAGCUGGUCUUGGAGACCGAUGAGGCACACUGAGACUGAGACACGGGCCAGACGCCUACGGGAGGCAGUAGUAGGGAAUUUUGGACAAUGGCGGCAACCCUGAUUCAGCAAUGCCGCGUGUGAGAAGAAGGCCUUCGAGUUGUAAAGCACUUUUGUCCGGAAAGAAAUCGCACUUACUAAUAUUAGGUGUGGAUGACGGUACCGGAACAAUAAGGACCGGCUAACUACGUGCCAGCCGCCGCCGUAACAC
rnacentral:rRNA from 1 species